UUAUCAAAUGUUUCAGGCACUACUAUAAGAGCAGAAUACAUAUUUCUCUCGCUAUGAGGGAUAUGUAGUUUAUCGAUCAAUAUCCAGUCCCAGAUGGCUUGUAUAUCUUCAAUACCUGUUGCAUGGGAUAAUAUUGCGAAAUAUUAAGAUGGCCUCUGCGUAUAGGACGUCUUAAACAAUACGGUUCGGUUGGAGAGAUACGCAUAGCUUCUUCACCACAUAUGUACUCUUUGUGCUUCAAUUCACUAGUCUGCGGCUUAUCCCCAUCGUUACUUUCAUGUGGGCCCGGGGACUCGAUAGUUUCAUGUUCACGUGAU
rnacentral:lncRNA from 1 species